CCUACGGGAGGCAGCAGUGGGGAAUAUUGGACAAUGGGGGCAACCCUGAUCCAGCGACGCCGCGUGAGUGAAGAAGUAUUUCGGUUUGUAAACUUCUAUCAGCAGGGACGAAAGAAAUGACGGUACCUGACUAAGAAGCCCCGGCUAACUACGUGCCAGCAGCCGCGGUAAUACGUAGGGGGCAAGCGUUAUCCGGAUUUACUGGGUGUAAAGGGAGCGUAGACGGGGAUGCAAGUCAGAAGUGAAAGGCAGGGGCCCAACCCCCGGACUGCAUUGGAAACUGUAUUGCUGGAGUGCAGGAGAGGUAGGUGGAAUUCCUAGUGUAGCGGUGAAAUGCGUAGAUAUUAGGAGGAACACCAGUGGCGAAGGCGGCUUGCUGGACUGUAACUGACGUUGAGGCGCGAAAGCGUGGGGAGCAAACAGGAUUAGAUACCCUAGUAGUC
rnacentral:rRNA from 1 species